AGUCAACAUGACUGAAAUGGUCAAUUGACCCCCUAAGGAGUUAUUGUCCUUUAUAGUCAAUUUUUAACAAUUUUCAUAAAAUUUGUAAAUUUUUACUAACAUUUUCCACUGAAACUACUGGGCCAAGUUCAUUAUAGAAGAAUAAUUGUAAGCAGCAAUAAUGUUCAGUAAAGUAAGAUGUACAAACACAUCACCAUCACCAAAAC
rnacentral:lncRNA from 1 species